rnacentral:rRNA from 1 species
ACAGCAGUAGCCGCGGGAAUACGUAGGUGGCAAGCGUUGUCCGGAAUUAUUGGGCGUAAAGGGCUCGCAGGCGGUUUCUUAAGUCUGAUGUGAAAGCCCCCGGCUCAACCGGGGAGGGUCAUUGGAAACUGGGAAACUUGAGUGCAGAAGAGGAGAGUGGAAUUCCACGUGUAGCGGUGAAAUGCGUAGAGAUGUGGAGGAACACCAGUGGCGAAGGCGGCUCUCUGGUCUGUAACUGACGCUGAGGAGCGAAAGCGUGGGGAGCGAACAGGAUUAGAUACCCCGGUAGUCCCUGUCUCUUAUAU